AUUUGAAAUCUGGUACCUUCGGUGCCCGAGUUGUAAUUUGGAGAGGGCAACUUUGGGGCCGUUCCUUGUCUAUGUUCCUUGGAACAGGACGUCAUAGAGGGUGAGAAUCCCGUGUGGCGAGGAGUGCGGUUCUUUGUAAAGUGCCUUCGAAGAGUCGAGUUGUUUGGGAAUGCAGCUCUAAGUGGGUGGUAAAUUCCAUCUAAAGCUAAAUAUUGGCGAGAGACCGAUAGCGAACAAGUACAGUGAUGGAAAGAUGAAAAGAACUUUGAAAAGAGAGUGAAAAAGUACGUGAAAUUGUUGAAAGGGAAGGGCAUUUGAUCAGACAUGGUGUUUUGUGCCCUCUGCUCCUUGUGGGUAGGGGAAUCUCGCAUUUCACUGGGCCAGCAUCAGUUUUGGUGGCAGGAUAAAUCCAUAGGAAUGUAGCUUGCCUCGGUAAGUAUUAUAGCCUGUGGGAAUACUGCCAGCUGGGACUGAGGACUGCGACGUAAGUCAAGGAUGCUGGCAUAAUGGUUAUAUGCCGCCCGUCUUGAAACAC
rnacentral:rRNA from 1 species